rnacentral:lncRNA from 1 species
AUGCUGUAUUUUCUUUCUUUUUUUUUUGAGAGAGAGAGAUAGGUUGCACCCUAUCCGUUUCGUUUAUUUUAUUCAGAAAUAAAUUUAGCUGAAAAUGUGAAAAAAUUAGGAUUAGAAUUUGAGUCUCGGGUACCAACAAUCAAGUCCUUUGCCACUUGCUUUAGAUACGAUCGAUAAAAAUGCUGUAUUUUCGAAACAACAAUUGCCAUGCUAAGAAUUUAAAAUGGAAAAAUCUAGUUGUACACCCAAAAGUGGGUGUACAUUUUACUUUUCAUUUAUUCAUAAAUAAAAAUUAUUCAUCAGUCACAUCAUGUAACUAAUAAAAAAAAAUCACCAUUCGAUGGGAUGGGAUGGGUGUAAAUUUUAUACCCAUUUUAGAUUAAUUACACAUAAUUCUAUAUAAAUAUAGUAAAUUAUAAAUAUAUUUUUAUAAAAUUUAAUUUUCUUAUGUUAUUCUACAUAAAUCUUAAUAUUUUUAAAUAUGGUUCUGUCGUUAGGAUCUGUAAGAAAAAAUUUAGUUAACCAUAAGUGAAAUACUUAAUCUUGGUUAAUUAAUGAGGUAAAUUGAUAUUUUUAUCUCUUUUAUAAUAUAUUUUCUCCUCUCAAUCAAAAUCCUAACAAUGAAAACUCUUUUUUUUCUUCUUUCUCUUCUUCUCUCUCCUUCGUGCUAGUUUUCAAUUCGUAACUAGAAUUUCUCCGUCCAUAUUCAUCCGUAAUGUAUGUUGUUUUGCUCGUGUCGAACACGUGUUGUUUUUUCAUAUAAUUUUCUCUAUAAUUUUUUCUUAUUUUGCUCAAAAGAAAAGAUUUAAAAAAAAACAGUGAGAGAAAAGGUUACAAUAAUGGUGGAUUGGAUUAAAUUUUAAAAAGAAAAAAAGAUGACCUUUGAAAAUUUUUUGAAAGGACAUUCUACACGAUUAUAGCAGUUGGGGUUUUUUGAGAGACAUAUUCGUGAUGCCAAAAUUGACAUUUUACUAUCUGUUAUUAAAAAAUAAACAGUUCUCUAACAGUAACAAAUCAGAAGGACAAUAUGACUAUCACGAGACUUUGUAAGAAUAACAUAAGAAACUUGAACUGUUUAUGAAUAUUUACAAUUUGCUAUAUUUAUAGAGAGCUAUAUGCAAUUAACUCUAAAAUAAAAUAAAAAAUUUGUUGCAUAUAUACA